CCUACGGGGGGCUGCAGUGAGGAAUAUUGGUCAAUGGCCGGAAGGCUGAACCAGCCAUGCCGCGUGAAGGUCAGUGCCCUAUGGGCGUUAAACUUCUUUUGUGCGGGAGCAACGCCGGCUACGUGUAGCCGGACUGAGAGUACCUGAAGAAAAAGCAUCGGCUAACUCCGUGCCAGCAGCCGCGGUAAUCCGGAGGAUGCGAGCGUUAUCCGGAUUUCUUGGGUUUAAAGGGUGCGUAGGCGGAAUGCCAAGUCAGCGGUAAAAUCGCGGGGCUCAACCUCGCUCCGCCGUUGAAACUGGCGUUCUUGAGGGGGAGAGAAGUAUGCGGAAUGCGUGGUGUAGCGGUGAAAUGCAGAGAUAUCACGCAGAACUCCGAUUGCGAAGGCAGCAUACCGGCGCCCAACUGACGCUGAAGCACGAAAGCGUGGGUAUCGAACAGGAUUAGAUACCCCAGUAGUC
rnacentral:rRNA from 1 species